rnacentral:rRNA from 1 species
CCCUUAGAUGUCCUGGGCUGCACGCGCGCUACACUGAUGUGUCCAGUAAGCACCUAACCUCUUCCGAAAGGAACGGGUAACCUUUGCAAAGCACAUCGUGAUGGGGAUAGAUUAUUGCAAUUAUUAGUCUUGAACGAGGAAUUCCUAGUAAGCACAAGUCAUCAGCUUGUGUUGAUUACGUCCCUGCCCUUUGUACACACCGCCCGUCGCACCUACCGAUUGAAUGGUCCGGUGAAAUCUUGGGAUUUUGUUUUGUUUGCAUUUAUUUGUAUCGAGACGAGAGAACUUGAGUAAACCUUACCAUUUAGAGGAAGGUGAAGUCGUAACA